AAGCCCUUUAAAUCGGUCCAGAGAGGCUGAUAAGGGAAUGGUUAUAAGGGGUUUUUAUGGAUUUACAGCCUCCCUUAUUGGCCUUAAAUAGGGGAGGUUUUAUU
rfam:Clostridia bacterium 41_269 MPF_scaffold_55, whole genome shotgun sequence.